ensembl:lncRNA
GGAGCCUGCUCUCGCCUCAGGUGGUCCCACAGAGGGUGGGCAAGUGGCUCAGGGCACAGACCCUGAAGGACAGACCUCUUUGGCUGUUCCGUGUGAUUUGGGGCUUGGGCCCAACCUCUCAUGAGCUUUGUCGGAUGCCGUUUUGUUUCUGGAGGGUGGACACUGCCAUUUCUCCCUGACGGCUCUCAUACGUCUUGCACUGCCACCUUUGAUCCAGUGACACAUAGAGCACCGAGCUUGGGGAACAAAAAGCUCCGCGCGCUGGUGCCCGCCGCCUCCUGGGAAAGGCACUGUCCACAGCUCGACGGUCUGGCCUCACAGUCCAGGGACUACAUUUCCCAGAGAGCCUUGCGGACAGAGCCGGUCUUGCGCACUUUUCACUUCCGGACGCGGAAGGUUGUCGUGGAAACGCAGACGCUGCCGCGACCUCUUUCUUACCUUCUUGCGCGUGAGCAUGCACUAUGGUAAUGGAUAUUUGGGUUGUUGGGUCCUCCUGGCUGUGGGUAGUGCUGGUGUGAAUUCCGUGACUCUAUCUGUGCAGGCAAAUGCUUUCAGAGUCUCUUUGGUUACAUGCUGAGGAGUGGAGUUGCUUUAUCUCAUGGCGUGAGCGUGAGGUGCACCCGGUCCUCCCUGGGUGCCUGGCUGUAGUGCCGGACUCUCUUCUGAGCCCGUCGCCAGUGUUUUGAGAUUGGCUGUCUUCUGAACAGUGGCCAGCAUUUGCCUCCUUAGAGCAGGUCGGGGCUGGGGCGGCCCUGAAAUCAGAACACACAGGGCAGGAACAGAAACAUUCUUUUGCGGCGUCUGGAGAGAGUGAUGUGGGCCCAAAGCCGUCCCUGAAGAGGCCGCGGAGUGCCUGCCAGCGCCCAGGUGCCAAGCAGGACGUAAGGCCAUCAACCUGCAGGUGGAGCUGGAGGUGCUACAGUGCUUUGAAGCUGGAGAGAUGCUCAGCAGAAUCGGGAAGGCGCUGGGGCUCUCCACCUCCACCGUGGCCACCAUUUGUGACAAGGACAAGAUCUGAGCGAGUUUCCAGGCGGCCACCCCGCAGGCGGCCACCAAGCUGACGCACAGCCGCCGCCUGGCGAUGGAGAACACGGAGCGGCUGCUGAGCGUGUGGAUCGAGGACCAGAACCAGCGCAACACGCGGGGCAACAUGGUGCUUGUCCAGGAGAAGACCGCAGCCUGUUCGAGGAGCUCAGGCGGCAGCAGGGCGAGGGCGCCGAGUCGGAGACCUUCAGGCCUGCCAGGGCCGGUUCAAGGUGUUCAGCGUGGAGGAGACCCGGCUCUUCUGGAGGCGGCUGCUGGAUGGGACGGUGCCUUCCGCCCGGAGGAGCGCCCUGGGUUCACAGCCCCCCAAGAUCUACUGACUCUGCUGCUGGGCAGCAACGUGGCCGGUAGCUUGAAGCUGAAGCCGCUGCUGGUGUACCCGGUGGAGAACCUGCGCGCCCUCAGGGGCUUCUCCAAGCCCAGCCUGCCCCUGCUUGGCUCGCCCACAAGAAGGCGUGGGUCACGGUGAGCCUCUUCCCGGAGUGGUUCGUGCACUUCUUCCGCCCUGCGGUGGAGAGGUACUAUGCCUGGCACGGGCUCCCGCGUAAAGCGCAGCUUGUCCCGGACAGCGCUCCUGGCCGCCCUGGAAACCUGGACGACCUCUCCGACCACGUGGGCGUGGAGUCCCUGCCCAAGGAUACCACAGCCCUCAUCCAGCCCAUGACCCAGGACGUGGUCGCCACCUUUAAGGCCUGCCACCUGCGGAGGGUCUUCCGCCUCUUGGCCGCGAGGGCCGGGGGCACAGGCGAGCCGGGAGCGGCCCUGGACGUCUGGCGGGACUACUGCAUCCUUGACACCGCCCCGUACCUCUCCGUGUCCUGGGAGGGGUCCCGCCCUCGUCGCUGAACAGUGGUUGGAGGAGGCCGUGGCCCGAGCGCCUCCAGCACAGAGUCAGCGGCCCCCAGGUGGAAACCCUCCCACAGAUCUGGUGGGACAUCCAGGCGCUGGCGCACCAGGUGGGUUUCAGGGAGGUGGCGGAGGCAGAGGUGGCCGAGCUGCUGCAGAGCCGUGGCUCGGACUGGUCCAAGAGGAGCUGGAGGAGCCGGAGCCGACUGCCGAGGAGGAGGGCAAGGCCAGCCCCGCCACCGCCGCCAGCUCACGGCUGAGCACUUGGCCAGGGCCCUGGCACAUUUCGAUGCCCGCCUGCACAUCAUCAGGGACGACGCCUCCAAGCUGGAGUGCAGCCUCCAGGUCUGCCGGGGUGUGAACAACUUGAUGGGCUGCUGUGGGCGCAUUUCAAGGAGAAGCAAGGCCCCAAGUAGUGGGGUGGGAGGGGUGGGGAAGGAGGGGGCGUCCUCCCUCGCCAGCUCUCACUUGGAAGUGACACUGGUCUUCGUGUUUCCAUCUCAUUAACUCCUCAAAUGUCUUUUGUCAGCAAAUAAUUUAUUAUCUCCAGUGAUCUCAAAUACAUGGUUUUAGAAGCCUCGACGAAUGCUCAGUGGUUCUGUGGUGUCCCGAGCCCUUUGGAGGCAUGCAUCUAUUUCCUUGUGGACACCUGUGAGGAAGCCAGGCUGGCUGGGCAGCGCCCCUGGCAUGCUGCUCCUGGCACCUUGCUCACUGCACUGAGCCCUCCCUUUAUUCCGAGGCGGGGCUCCCAGAGCUGGGUGGACAUCCAGUCCAGAGAGGAGUUGUGCUUGUUUUCUGGUCCUCUCACUCUUCUGCUGGGCUUCAGGACCCACAGAGGACAAAGGCUGACCCAGGUGAGUGCCCAGAGAGACUCGGGGGUCCCGCGAGUGGGCCUGGGUAGGAGUGUCUGGCCACCCCCCUCCCAGCUCUGUUCCUACAGAGCCCCAGUGCCUCGUGUCACCCUGUUCUGUUCUCCAAAAUGAUGCUGAGCCCUUGUGGU